rnacentral:rRNA from 1 species
CUUGUUGGUGGGGUGAUGGCCCACCAAGGCGACGACGGGUAGCCGGCCUGAGAGGGUGUCCGGCCACACUGGGACUGAGAUACGGCCCAGACUCCUACGGGAGGCAGCAGUGGGGAAUAUUGCACAAUGGGCGCAAGCCUGAUGCAGCGACGCCGCGUGAGGGAUGACGGCCUUCGGGUUGUAAACCUCUUUCAAUGCCGACGAAGCGCAAGUGACGGUAGGCGUAGAAGAAGCACCGGCCAACUACGUGCCAGCAGCCGCGGUAAUACGUAGGGUGCGAGCGUUGUCCGGAAUUACUGGGCGUAAAGAGCUCGUAGGUGGUUUGUCGCGUUGUUCGUGAAAACCGGAGGCUUAACCUCUGGCGGGCGGGCGAUACGGGCAGACUGGAGUACUGCAGGGGAGACUGGAAUUCCUGGUGUAGCGGUGGAAUGCGCAGAUAUCAGGAGGAACACCGGUGGCGAAGGCGGGUCUCUGGGCAGUAACUGACGCUGAGGAGCGAAAGCGUGGGGAGCGAACAGGAUUAGAUACCCUGGUAGUCCACGCCGUAAACGGUGGGUACUAGGUGUGGGUUUCCUUCCUUGGGAUCCGUGCCGUAGCUAACGCAUUAAGUACCCCGCCUGGGGAGUACGGCCGCAAGGCUAAAACUCAAAGGAAUUGACG